rnacentral:lncRNA from 1 species
UAGAGGGACUGUAUCAUACGAUAACUGCACCUAGAGGUUCAUCUAUUCCAUUCUGCUGGGUUGCCACUACAUGCUGCUAGGUGUCACUGGUGGAUUGUGAGACUCAGAGGCAUUCACUUGAUGAUCAGUGAAUCCGAAUGAGAACAGUGAAAAUUGUUCCAACCCAUUGAAAGAAGUUUCAAUGAUAUUGUGAUAGAGAUCAUAAUAUAUCUCACUACCAGACAGAAUAGAACCUAUGGGGUCACACACAUUAGAGGUAUUGACCGAUCCGAUGGUUGAAUUGUGAUUUGGAAUCACAAAUAAUUUAUAAUUAUCAAUUUGAUUGAUAAUUGUUUUAACUCACUAAGAGUUAGUGAGUAGAAGAAGGA